GGACUACUAGGGUAUCUAAUCCUGUUUGCUACCCAUGCUUUCGUGCCUCAGUGUCAGUCUUUGUCCAGAAAGUCGCCUUCGCCACCGAUGUUCCUUCCGAUAUCUACGCAUUUCACCGCUACACCGGAAAUUCCACUUUCCUCUACAAAACUCUAGCUUCACAGUAUCAGGCGCAAUCCCCAGGUUAAGCCCGGGACUUUCACACCUAACUUAUGUAACCACCUGCGCACCCUUUACGCCCAGUAAUUCCGAUUAACGCUUACACCCUCUGUAUUACCGCGGCGGCUGGCAC
rnacentral:rRNA from 2 species